GCGAUGAGCUAAUUUACGUAAGACGAGAGAUAUGCUUAAGUGCUAAACACGCGAAUGUGGUCGCCUGGUCUCUCGCCGUAAACGCAUCAAGACGCCUGCUAUGCAGGCGUC
rfam:Bacillus cereus Rock3-44 chromosome, whole genome shotgun sequence.